UACAGAGGUCUCAAGCGUUGUUCGGAAUCACUGGGCGUAAAGGGUGCGUAGGCCGCACGGUAAGUCAGAGGUGAAAUCCCGGAGCUCAACUUCGGAAUUGCCUCCGAUACUGCCGUGCUUGAGGACUGGAGAGGAGAUUGGAAUUCACAGUGGAGCAGUGAAAUGCGUAGAUAUCGUAAGGAAGACCAGUGGCGAGGGCGGGUCUCUGGACAGUUCCUGACGCUGAGGCACGAAGGCCAGGGGAGCAAACGGG
rnacentral:rRNA from 1 species